UCCCCGGGAAACUGGGGCUAAUCCCCGAUAGGAAUCUGCAGCUGGAACGCCCAGACACCAAAACAGGAAGCUCUCAUGCGAGCUCCACUACCGAAGGAUAGGACUGCGACCUAUCAGCUUGUAGGUAGUGUAAAGGACUACCUAGGCGAUAACGGGUACCGGCGAUGUAAGUCGGAGCCGGGAGAAGGACACUUAGACAAGGGUCCUGGCACUACGGUGCGCAGCAAGCGCGAAACCUCUGCAAUAUGCGAAAGCGUGACAGGGUAACCCCCAGUGCCCGCCUCUAAAGCGGGCUUUUCUUCAGCUUAGGGGCCUGGAGGAAUAAGGCGAGGGCAAGGCUGGUGCCAGCCGCCGCGGUAAAACCAGCUCGUCAAGUGGUCAGGACCAUUAUUGAGGCUAAAGCGUCCGUAGAUGUUCUAGCAAACUCCUGGUUAAAUCCGUCUGCUCAACGGACGGGCUGCUAGGGGGACUACUAGAAUAGGAGACGGGAGAGGUCGAGGGUACUACGCGGGAAGGGGUGGAAUCCUAUAAUCCGUGUGGGACCACCAGUGGCGAAGGCGCUCGGCUAGAACGUGCUCGACAUUGAGGGACGAAACCUGAGGGAGAGAUCCGGAUUAGAUACCCGGGUAUUCUCAGGUGUAAACGAUGCCGGUUAGGUGUUGGCCCGGCUUAGAGCCGCGCCAGUGCCGCAGCGAAGGCGUUAAACUGGCCCC
rnacentral:rRNA from 1 species